GAUGAACGCUGGCGGCGUGCCUAAUACACGCAAGUCGAGCGAACAGAUGAGGAGCUUGCUCCUCUGACGUUAGCGGCGGACGGGUGAGUAACACGUGGAUAACCUACCUAUAAGACUGGGAUAACUUCGGGAAACCGGAGCUAAUACCGGAUAAUAUAUUGAACCGCAUGGUUCAAUAGUGAAAGACGGUUUUGCUGUCACUUAUAGAUGGAUCCGCGCCGCAUUAGCUAGUUGGUAAGGUAACGGCUUACCAAGGCAACGAUGCGUAGCCGACCUGAGAGGGUGAUCGGCCACACUGGAACUGAGACACGGUCCAGACUCCUACGGGAGGCAGCAGCAGGGAAUCUUCCGCAAUGGGCGAAAGCCUGACGGAGCAACGCCGCGUGAGUGAUGAAGGUCUUCGGAUCGUAAAACUCUGUUAUUAGGGAAGAACAAAUGUGUAAGUAACUAUGCACGUCUUGACGGUACCUAAUCAGAAAGCCACGGCUAACUACGUG
rnacentral:rRNA from 1 species